AAAAAUAUAGUUUUCAAUUGUGCAUAGGUGAGCUAAAGUAUAAAACUCCUAUAUAUUCAGUGAUACAGAGAGGACAUGUUAAGGUCAAAUAAGUAUCAUUAUACUAAGAUUUAAGCAAACUUCUCCUGGGCAAGACAAGUAAUGUCAAGAGUGGAAAAUUACAAACCUUAAGCAUGUGAUUGCUCUUUAUGGUGAUGGGGUAUUGAUAGAUGGUGGUGUUCAGGUAUGUGUUUACCAUUUUACUUCUGUGUCCUCACACCCAUGAGUAUCUGAAUGUAUCAGGUAAAUUCCUGCUGCUUUGUAGGUAGAGUGAACGUAAAUAUCAUGAGCUACGCUAGGUCUGUGAAUCAUUAUAGUCAUAACUGACUUUGCCUCAGAUAUACAGACACAUCCCUUGUCUAAAUGAAUCCAUCCACUGAAGUCAUCCUGAAAGACAAGUUCCUUUAUAAAAUGGCAUUGCUCAAAAAAUAUAAAGCUGCAAGGCAUCCAUUUUAAUUCCUAUAAAUAUUGCUUAAAUAGAAAACAUUUGUGCCACAAAUUUGAAAUUCUAGAAUAAACUUCACACAUAUCUGUCAUCACAUGUAACUUUGAAGUCCUGUCAGCACAGGUAUCUAAUUUAUAUGAAGCACCCUGGAGUCAAUGUCUCUUUGUACUGUUAUUUGUCAAAUGAUUCAAGCACUGCUUUAAAGUAUAUGUGAGGUUACUAGUCAAUCUUAACGCUCUAAAUCUGCAUGCUAUGCUACGCACAUUUUUUUCCUCUAAGCACAUGAAAUUCUAAAUUAUAUUUGCCUUUGAUAUUUUUAUUUUUCUUUCUUUAAGGAAUAUCACGGGAAAGCAUGAAGCUGUUAUAAAGUUAAUAUCUGCUAUUCUGGACUCAAGAAGGUCAAUCUGUACCCUCCGUACGUGCCUCCUUUCCUAGCCUUCCCAAGAAGUCUUAAGAAAAAUGGACAUCAACCAGGCUGAAACCUUGGCAUCAUACCUGGCACCUGCUGGAUGCUUAAUAAGUACUUGUGGACUGAGUGACUCUCAUGCCUUACCUCUGCAGUGUAGACAAUAGUACCCAUGCUUGCUACAUCACGGAGGACUUGUUAAGCAUUAUUCAAUUAUGAAUCUUUAGCUAGUCUACAUGUCAUAGAUUCUAAUAUUGAUGUUUUCUACCCUUUAAUAUAAGUGAAUUUUAAUCCAUUUUAUAGUACAUCUUGAAAUUAUAUAUAUAAUUUCCUUAGUGGUACCUAAUGUAUCUUCCAAUCAAUAAUUUUCCUGAUUUAUUGAAAAACGGUAUUAAAUAAAUGUAAUUACAAAACCAACUUACUGGCCAAUUCUACACACUGAUCUAUACACAAAACUCAAAGCCAGCUUCCAUAUUUAGAAAACACAAUUAGUUUGAGUAUUAGGCUUUGGCAAGAAAAUCUAACUGGGCCUUGAAGGUGAAUGUUAACUGAGGAGGAAGAAAUUUGAGAUAAUGGCCAGCAGUAAUUCAUCUUCCCAUAAUUCAUAUUAUGUCCAAAUUUCUUUGGACAUAACACUUUUGGCAUAUGGAUCUAUAGUUCCCGCUCCUAUUAAGAUAGGAAACCUUCCUCCUCUUCUAUUUAUAUUAAAAGCUCUUAUCAGAUAGAACCCAGCUGAGUCAGGGAAGUAGGAAUCACACAUGUGGGGCAUAGUUCUUUUCAUUUGUCUUUAUGUAUUCACUUUAUUUAUUAGAUAUAUGACACCCAGGAGCUCAAAGCAGGACAUCAUCUUUGUAUUCCAAAACAUCCUUAAAUUGGGAGAUGUGUCGCUUCUAGUAGCACCAGUAGAUGAAUAUUAAAUAGAUGAAUGAAUACUUAAGCUUUCAUCCAUUCAUUGGUCCCUAACCCCACCUCAGCACUACUCCCAGUGCUAGCCAAUAGGCUGCAAAAACUUACUCCUCCCCAUCAUCAUAGCUGCUGAGGAGCAUUCAUCAAGAGAAAAAAUAAUUUAAAACCCUAAUAACAUGUAAGCUAAUUUCUCCAAAAGCCAUAUGUAUUUUUUUUAAUAUUCUGAAACUACAUACAUGCUUCCAGGACCACAUAAAAAUUUGAAAAGCUUCAACUAGGGCUAUGCUAAGUAAGAUUAAAACUAAUGUUAAACUUUUGGGCUGUAAAGUUUAAAAUAACAGAUUUUUAAAAAUAGAAUUCAUGCUUUUUAAAAAUUUUUAAAUAAAUACCUUUCCUUAUAUAAUUUAAUGAAAAUAUGGAAACCAUUGAAGACCUAUUGUCCUUGGUCAUAGUUGUUGCAUUUGAUCUUGAAAACAUUAUUUCGACAGCUUGUAUUCAUUUGAGUGUGAUUUGUUCUAAUCAUAGUCUAAUCUUAUUUUGUGCCAUAGACGACAAUGAGCCAUAGUAAUCCAACUAUUGGGUGAUGUUCAAAAAACUGUGCCAGAGGCCAAUGUGUUAAUACAUGUGACUUACUCUGAGGGACCCAGGCACACAUUAACCCUGAACUGCCUGAAAGGUAUUAUAGAUAUCUUACACAUAAAACCUCAAUAUUUACAGUACAUUGCUUCCUUCAAAUAUACUCAGUUGCUGAGCAUAAUUGAUUCUCAAAAUAUAUCGCUGACUUUAAUGGCAUAGAUGUACAUUAGACAACAUUAAACACACACACCCACACACACAUAAUACCAAGACUUUUCUUGGCAUAACACUUAAUGUCAUUAUAUGAAAGAUACAUUAUUAACAUAAACAUGCUAUAUUGCAUGACAUAUAAACUGUUAGAAAAAUAAGUGGAGAGGUGUCUGGAUAUGGUGAAGUGAGGUGAAACCUUAAUUCAUUAAAUGUAAAUAAGCAAAGGCAAAUAAGCAAACAAGAAAAUAUUUACGCACAUAGAUGAGAUGCAUCUAAGCCAUAAAUAAAUGCAUGCAGAGUCAUCUAAUUGAAAAAGAGAUAUAAAAAUUCAUACUGCAGACUACACUUUAUUCAUCAUAUUAGCAUAAUUACAGAAGGCAAAAUUACAAGCAAUUAGCAAUGCAUUGAUAGUACAUAAAUAUUCUAAAUCAGAAAAUAAUUUUGAAUAUAUUGCAUUUAUACAUUGCUUUUCUUUCCUGCAAAUGGAAAAUGAUAUGUUCUUGGGGAUAUAGUCAAUUAUUAGGGAUAUUUAUGCUUAAAGUUAAUAUAUUAGGCUUUAUGAAACUGAUUUUAUUAUAUUCUAAGAUGCACUGUGUUACUUAUCUGUUUUUCAUGUAACAUCACAUGUUCUCUAAGAUAGGUCAAGGCAGGAUUCAGUUACUUAGAGAAGCAACAAUGCCCCAUUCAAUCUUAAUCCACCAAUGAUGCUGCCAGUGUUGCAGGAAAGCAAUGUGUCUAGAUGACUCUGGGUAAGGAGCUCUGAUUCCUUAACAAGUAGAUCAUAGGUGAUGGGAUUAUCUGGGUAGUGCUAUAUUUUCUUAGUCAUCUUAAACACCAACUUGCUAACUAAAGUACCAAGACUAAACACUUCCUUAGGAACAUCUCUGAGAAAGUUUAUGUCAAUAAACUCACAAUCAACAAAGAGAAGUCAAGGAUAGAAGAAGGAAAGAGAAUUGGCAAGAAAAAAAAAGAUGUAAGCAAAAUAAUAGGUUCCAUAAAAAGACUGGAGUAUUAGAUAUAUGUGCAAAUAUUUUCUCUACUUUUUUAAAUGUUCUAUAUACAUUCUUAAAAGAACAAACCACCACCAUCACCAAGGACAAGCAUAAAGCCAAUUUCUUGCUUCUCUCAGAGAUGGCUCCAUCACUUUUUUUGAACAUUCACAUCUGUUGCAGUCUUAAUCAACAGCCAAAGUCAUCUUUGGCUGACAAAGAGAGAUAAUUCAGUAAUUUAAAUACUGGUCUUUGUAUGUUCUACAGUACAUCGGUCAAAUACAUGAAUUGGAAAUUUUUCUUCUAUUACAUAAAAAUCUUCAAAGAGGCUCAAAUAUAUAUUUUCAAGAUUCCUCUUGGUACUAUUUAGCAGUAAUUCAAGGAAAACAAAACAAAGAUAAAAAUGGAUAUAGCUGCUUGUUUCUAGUGUGUCUUCCUCAAACUUGUCAUGAUCAUCCUUUCUUUUCUAUAUAACUCUUCACUUUAAUCUUAGAUGCCUGUCAGUAUUUUCAAGGCCUUGAAGAAUAGUAUUACUAAAAGAUUCAAAAUUUCCACAAGGAAAACAAAAAUGAGAUUCAAAAUUACCAACUAAAUUCUAUAUUCAGAAAUUCCUGGUUUAGAAUUGCUGUGGGCCAAAUCAGUCAACCAACCAACAACAAACUAAGUUUAAAACAAAACAAAAUAAGCUGCUUUCAUGAAAUAUAAAUAUAAAUAUACACUGUAAUAUGGUUUGGUUGUCUCCCCACCCAAAUUUCAUAUUGAAUUGUAGCUCCCACAAUUCCCACAUAUCAUGGGAGGGACCCAGUGGGAGGUAAUUGGAUCAUGGGGGCAGGUCUUUCCUGUGCUGUUCUCAUGAGUGUGAAUAAGUCUCAUGAGAUCUGAUGGUUUUAUAAAGGGGAGUUUCCCUGCACAAGCUCUUAUCUUCCCGGCUGCCACGUAAGAUGUGACUUGCUCCUCCUUGCCUGCAGCCAUGACUGUGAGGCCUCCCCAGCCACGUGGAACUGUGAGUCCAUAAACCGCUUUUUCUUUAUAAAUUAGGCAGUCUCAGGUAUGUCUUUACUAGCAGUGUGAAAACGGACUAAUACGCAUUGUGAGUUCUUUUAUUUUACCCUAUGCUAGUCAUUAAGAACUCAUUGUGCAACAUUUGCAGAAAAUCUGUUAUAUGAGAUCCCUGGAAAAGGAAUUGCCUACUUUUUCUUUACUUUGUCCCUAGAUUUUCCAAACAAAACUUCAAGUUAACCAUUUAGCGGACUUACUAUAUGCUAGGCAGCAAUGGAAGCAUUUUACAAAUAUAAAUUAAUUAAUUUAAUCCUCAUAACAAUCAUGGGAGGUGAUCCCUAUUUGACCGAUGAGGAAACCAAGGCACUAAGAUUUAAGAAAUGUUCCUAAUAUGUUAUACGUAAUGCACUCUAGAGUUAGGAUUCAAGCCAAGGCUGUUUGAGUACUAAGUCCUAAGUGCUAAGUUCUAAGAGCUAAGGGAGUCUUUGUGUGGCUCUAUUAUAUUCCUAACUUUUAUACCUCCUGGAGAAGGUACAACUUGACAUUCCACAAGAUUAAUAUUUGGGGGAACUUUUUUGCUAAUGAUGUAUAACAAAAUUAAAAAUAAAUUUCUGAAGAAUGUAUGUUGACUCUUCCUUCCUCUGCCAGCUACUGUCUCCCCCUGCUC
rnacentral:lncRNA from 10 species